CUUUCACUUUUGCUUUUUUCUUUCUCCCCUUCGUGCAUGAUACUUUCACUUUUGCUUUUGUCUUUCUCCCGUUCGUGCACAAACUCCAUCCCCUCUAGCACAGCUAGGGUUUCUGCUUGGAGUGCAGAUUGCACUCUCACUUGGCGUGCAAAUCCUCCUAAGAAAACACCGGCGGCAUCUCUACAGACUCCGGCGAUUGCUCCGGUGGAUGUGCCCUCACGAAACCCUCCAUCUACGUUUAUUUUCAGCGACUUCGAGGCAGGGGGACUCCACUUCGUAGCAGAGGGCUUCGGUGACUGCUCUAUCCGGAUCCGGUGGUUUCUUUCGGAAGAUAGCCCCAUUCCUCUCUUUCCACACUACCCAGAGCAUUUGGGCGACUAGUUCGAGGGGUGGUGUGUCUGGUAAGCCUCUCCCAUAAUGAAGAAGCCAUCUAUCUAUGCUUGUUAGUCCCUUGCUCUGUAUAGGGAUGCUGAUGCGUGGAUCUGACCAAAUUUUGGAUGUCCAGGGACAAAGCAAAAAUAAAUGCUCUGCUGUUUCGGGCUUCAUUUUGCACAGAUGACACGUCGGUGCAGGAACAAGUGCGAUUUGGGUUCUAUUUAGAAUCGGGUGGAGGCAUCUUUUCUCCAUGAAGUCCUCUACCAUUUUCAGAAUAUCUUUCUGCAUGGCUUCCCAAUGAUGUUGAUAAAACUGACCAUUCAAUCCAUCUGGUCCUGGGGCUUUGAUGGCGCCUAGCUGAAAAACGGCAUCUUUGACUUCUUGUAGUGUAAUUUUUGCUAUUAGGUGUGUAUUCAUUUCAUCAGUCACCACAGUAGGGCAUUGAUCAAUGACGGGUUGGAAGUUACGAGGCCCGACCGAGCUGUAUAAUUCAGUAAAAAAGGCUAAAGUUUCCUUUUUCAGUCUUCCCUCAUCCUUGCUCCACUCACCAUCUGAAACUUGGAGCAUGGAUAUUUUGUUUCGUUGCUUGCGCUGUAUCGUGGUGGCGUGAAAAUAUUUGGUGUUCCUAUCCCCCCAUUUCAGCCAUGUGAUUCUCGAUAUCAUCCCCCAAAACAUUUCUUCUUGCUUCCAUAACCGCUCUAUAUGUCCUUUAACCUCUUGUACCCUCUUUUUAUCAUGCUCCACCUCUUGGCUAUUAGUAACGGAUUCAAGUUCUCUUUUUAAAAUUCUGAUAUGCUUCUGGGCAUUUGAAAAUUUUUUACUCCAUGUCUCUAACAAUGUCGUGACUUGCUGUAUCUUUUCCCACCAACUCAGAUUAUCCAUACCAGGAUCAUUCAACACUGCAUGUAUGUUCUCCUCA